UAUCUUUCUAGUAGCUGAUCCGUCGUCAGUAUUGUGAAAUAAUUAUAAUAAUGUAAGAUUUCAAUGGAGAAAGCUGAACCGAGAGCAGCGCUUUCUCUCUUUCCAUCCUAUCAGUAUCGACACAUGCUCCAACGACGCAAUUAGCGACCGUUUUCUCUGCGUAGUGUUUUGGGAAACACAUGUUACAUCUUCGGCCGUUGUAGUGAUUGUUGGGCCGGCCUGCCACCCUCUCAGGGCAUUGGAGAAUGCAACCAACCAGGAAAAACAGCCCCAAACCUACCAUAUCUGGUGAGGUAUCCAUCUCCUGGGCAGACAUGUCGUCUUUGUCAUAUGGAUUUCAGCAAUCUCCUCUCACCUUUUCUGUAACAAAAUAAUGC